AACGCGAAGAACCUUACCUGGCCUUGACAUACUAAGAACUUUCCAGAGAUGGAUUGGUGCCUUCGGGAACUUAGAUACAGGUGCUGCAUGGCUGUCGUCAGCUCGUGUCGUGAGAUGUUGGGUUAAGUCCCGCAACGAGCGCAACCCUUUUCCUUAUUUGCCAGCGGGUUAUGCCGGGAACUUUAAGGAUACUGCCAGUGACAAACUGGAGGAAGGCGGGGACGACGUCAAGUCAUCAUGGCCCUUACGGCCAGGGCUACACACGUGCUACAAUGGUCGGUACAAAGGGUUGCUACCUCGCGAGAGGAUGCUAAUCUCAAAAAGCCGAUCGUAGUCCGGAUCGCAGUCUGCAACUCGACUGCGUGAAGUCGGAAUCGCUAGUAAUCGCGA
rnacentral:rRNA from 1 species